rnacentral:rRNA from 1 species
AGUGAACGCUGGCGGUAGGCCUAACACAUGCAAGUCGAACGGCAGCACGGUAAGAGCUUGCUCUUACGGGUGGCGAGUGGCGGACGGGUGAGGAAUACAUCGGAAUCUACUUUUUCGUGGGGGAUAACGUAGGGAAACUUACGCUAAUACCGCAUACGACCUACGGGUGAAAGCAGGGGAUCUUCGGACCUUGCGCGAUUGAAUGAGCCGAUGUCGGAUUAGCUAGUUGGCGAGGUAAAGGCCCACCAAGGCGACGAUCCGUAGCUGGUCUGAGAGGAUGAUCAGCCACACUGGAACUGAGACACGGUCCAGACUCCUACGGGAGGCAGCAGUAGGGAAUAUUGGGCAAUGGGCGAAAGCCUGAUGCAGCCAUGCCGCGUGAGUGAAGAAGGCCUUCGGAUUGUAAAGCCCUUUUAUUAGGAAAGAAAAGCAGCGGAUUAAAACCCCGCUGUUCUGACGGUACCCAAAGAGUAAGCACCGGCUAACUUCGUG